GAACGCCUUAUGCGGUGAAAGUCGCACGUAGGGUGUGGACCAAGCGAAAUCCUAUGUAUUUAGGAU
rnacentral:misc_RNA from 1 species